rnacentral:rRNA from 1 species
GACGAACGCUGGCGGCGUGCUUAACACAUGCAAGUCGAACGGGAUCCCAAGGCUUUUUGUUUUUGGUGAGAGUGGCGAACGGGUGAGUAACACGUGAGUAACCUGCCCCCUUCUUUUGGAUAACCGCAUGAAAGUGUGGCUAAUACAGGAUAUUCCAGGCUGGUCGCAUGAUUGGUUUGGGAAAUGGUUUGGUCUGGUGGGGGAUGGGCUCGCGGCCUAUCAGCUUGUUGGUGGGGUGAUGGCCUACCAAGGCGGUGACGGGUAGCCGGCCUGGGAGGGUGGGCGGUCAAACUGGGACUGAGAUACGGCCCAGACGCCUACGGGAGGCAGCAGUGGGGGAUUAUGCACAAUGGGCGCAAGCCUGAUGCAGCGACGCCGCGUGAGGGAUGAAGGCCUUCGGGUUGUAAACCUCUUUCGCUGGGUUGAAAGGCCAUGCUUUGGGUGUGGUUGAUUUGAACUGGUAAAGAAGUACCGGCUAACUACGUG